UACGUAGGGGGCAAGCGUUGUCCGGAGUUACUGGGCGUAAAGGGCCCGCAGGCGGUCGUGUAAGUUUGUACUGACAAUCCCGUGCUUAACGCGGGAGGGUGUAUGGAAACUGCACGACUUGAGGAUGAGAGAGGGACAGGGAAUUCCCGGUGUAGCGGUGAAAUGCGUAGAGAUCGGGAAGAACAUCGGUGGCGAAAGCGCUCUACUGGACGGUGACUGACACUCAGGGACGAAAGCUAGGGGAGCGAAUGGG
rnacentral:rRNA from 1 species